CUACGGGGCGCUCCAGUGGGGAAUAUUGCACAAUGGAGGAAACUCUGAUGCAGCAACGCCGCGUGGAGGAUGACACUUUUCGGAGCGUAAACUCCUUUUAUAUAGGAAGAAGAUGACAGUACUAUAUGAAUAAGCGCCGGCUAACUCCGUGCCAGCAGCCGCGGUAAUACGGAGGGCGCAAGCGUUACUCGGAAUCACUGGGCGUAAAGAGCGUGUAGGCGGAUUAAAAAGUCAGAAGUGAAAUCCUAUAGCUUAACUAUAGAACUGCUUCUGAAACUCUUAAUCUAGAAUAUGGGAGAGGUAGAUGGAAUUUCUGGUGUAGGGGUAAAAUCCGUAGAGAUCAGAAGGAAUACCGAUUGCGAAGGCGAUCUACUAGAACAUUAUUGACGCUGAGACGCGAAAGCGUGGGGAGCAAACAGGAUUAGAUACCCGCGUAGUC
rnacentral:rRNA from 1 species